CUCUCGACUCCAGGGGCAGCAGCCAGUUACAAUCGGCAGUCAGUACUCUCCUCUCCGUGUAUCCUCAAUCCUUUCUUUCUCUGGAGGCUCCUAUACUGCUCUUUCAGAGUCCAGACCAAGGUUAGACCAUCCAUGGGCUCCAACAGGAACUGAUAGGUGCAAAUUCUUUGUCAGAUCACUAAGAAAUGCUGAGGGCACUUAGACCUUUGAAUUAACCAGACUCAUCACAGAAUUUCUGUGUGUAUAAUCAGCAUCUGCCUCCAUUGGUCCCAAGUUCAUGGGUUUCCCCAUCACAGAUCAGCAGUAGUUGGGAGAAGGGGAAUGCCGUGAGUAAUGGACAUUCCUAAGCAAUCCAGAAUAGUGGUUCACAUGGCUGCCGUGCUGGAGUGGAUAGUGUUCACUACAAGUGGGGAGCUUAGGAUGGCAGCUACACCAGACGUCAGGAAGACUGUACUGCCUUGAGUCUUCAGUCCCUGGGAAAGCGAGUGGAAUCGUGAAGAGCACUGUUCUGUGCCUUGGAAGGCGAAAUGGAAGACUGCUGUGCCAAUACUUAGGGCAAGACAGCCUGACCUCAAGGAAACUAAGAAACUGCAUCAGAUACAAGAGAAUGAAUUACUUUUUGGUGUCUGGUUUGAGUGCCGACGCGCCUCCCUCCCCCAAUCCUGCAGAGGAGGAAAGAGAACAAGUCGCUUUAAAGUCUCGGGUGCCUUGUGCUCAGCAGGAGACUGGGCUUUCAGUGCAAGCCUUCACUUAGCCCCUGACAUGGCUCUGUGAGUUCGGUGUUCAGAUCCACAGUUUGUACCGAUCUGUCAACAGGAUGCAGCGAAGAUUCGUUCCCUCAGUUUGCAGGCGGGCCGUGGGAAGGUUCAUAUCGAUCGAUCGAUGUUUGAUGGACCCUCAGUUCCUUUUGUUUUGAUUGUCCCACACUGAUUUCCACCUGUUUGAUGGCCCUGCUAAAAAGUGAAAACAGUUGAGCCAUUCUGACCAAACUCUGGUACCUUUCUUAGUAUACUUCAAGGCACAGAAAC